UACCAGACUCCUACGGGAGGCAGCAGUGGGGGAUAUUGCACAAUGGGGGGAACCCUGAUGCAGCGACGCCGCGUGGGUGAAGGAGCGUUUCGGCGCGUAAAGCCCUAUCGGCAGGGAAGAAGGAGGACGGUACCUGACUAAGAAGCCCCGGCUAACUACGUGCCAGCAGCCGCGGGAAUACGUAGGGGGCAAGCGUUAUCCGGAUUUACUGGGUGUAAAGGGGGCGCAGACGGCAGCGCAAGCCAGGAGUGAAAGCCCGGGGCCCAACCCCGGGACUGCUCUUGGAACUGCGCGGCUGGAGUGCAGGAGGGGCAGGCGGAAUUCCUGGUGUAGCGGUGAAAUGCGUAGAUAUCAGGAGGAACGCCGGUGGCGAAGGCGGCCUGCUGGACUGCAACUGACGUUGAGGCCCGAAAGCGUGGGGAGCAAACAGGAUUAGAUACCCGCGUAG
rnacentral:rRNA from 1 species